GUGGGGAAUUUUGGACAAUGGGGGCAACCCUGAUCCAGCUAUGCCGCGUGCGGGAAGAAGGCCUUCGGGUUGUAAACCGCUUUUGUCAGGGAAGAAAUCCUUUGGGUUAAUACCUCGGAGGGAUGACGGUACCUGAAGAAUAAGCACCGGCUAACUACGUGCCAGCAGCCGCGGUAAUACGUAGGGUGCGAGCGUUAAUCGGAAUUACUGGACGUAACGCGUUCGCAGGCGGCUUUGCAAGACAGAUGUGAAAUCCCCGGGCUCAAUCGGGAAACUGCAUUUGUGACUGCAAGGCUAGAGUACGGCAGAGGGGGAUGGAAUUCCGCGUGUAGCAGUGAAAUGCGUAGAUAUGCGGAGGAACACCAAUGGCGAAGGCAAUCCCCUGGGCCUGUACUGACGCUCAUGCACGAAAGCGUGGGGAGCAAACAGGAUUAGAUACCCCAGUAGUCC
rnacentral:rRNA from 1 species